rnacentral:rRNA from 1 species
AAACACGGACCAAGGAGUCUAGCAUGUGCGCGAGUCAUUGGGAAACUCUAAACCUAAAGGCGCAAUGAAAGUAAAGAUCUUUCUCGCGAAGAUCGAGGGAAGAUGGGCGGUAAUAAUAUAAAAACCGUCCCGCACUCCCGGGGCGUCUCGUUCUCAUCGCGAGAAGAGGCGCACCAAGAGCGUACACGCUGGGACCCGAAAGAUGGUGAACUAUGCCUGGUCAGGACGAAGUCAGGGGAAACCCUGAUGGAGGUCCGUAGCGAUUCUGACGUGCAAAUCGAUCGUCGGAACUGGGUAUAGGGGCGAAAGACUAAUCGAACCAUCUAGUAGCUGGUUCCCUCCGAAGUUUCCCUCAGGAUAGCUGGCGCUCGUCGCGUACGAGUCUCAUCCGGUAAAGCGAAUGAUUAGAGGCAUUGGGGUCGAAACGAUCUUGACCUAUUCUCAAACUUUAAAUGGGUGAGAUCUCCGGCUUACUCAAAUAAAUUUUUUGAAGCCGCGAGAUACACGGAUCAGAGUGCCAAGUGGGCCAUUUUUGGUAAGCAGAACUGGCGCUGUGGGAUGAACCAAACGUCGAGUUAAAGCGCCUAAAUCGACGCUUAUGGGAUACCAUGAAAGGCGUUGGUAACUUAAGACAGCAGGACGGUGGCCAUGGA